CAUGCACACUGUUAGAGCCCGGUGCUGUCCUGGCUGUGCAGUGCGGGGUGUAGGAUGUGUGCUAAAUAAAAAUGCUUGAUCUUUUACCUCCUUUCUCUGAACCACACAG
rnacentral:snoRNA from 1 species